GGUGGACGAGAACGGUCUCGUGAAAACAUACCGAGUCUCGCGACAGUUAUAGGCUGUCUUGCUGGUGCCGUAAGAUGGCGAAGGCAUGUACAGUCGCUGUCUCAGGAUUAUGAAGAGGACUUUGAUGGCUUCCUGAUGAUAUAAUAACGAUAAUGACUGAGCUUUGGGUUGUAAGCCAUGGACGUCCAGAGCUGGGGGUUUGUGGGCUGAGGUAGUAGUUUGUAUAGUUUGGGAUCACACCAGAUCUGGGAGAUAACUAUACAGUCUACUGUCUUUCUCACAGCUACCCCAUUACCUCGUGCUCCCUUCAUGGAUGCAGGAGUUAGAAGCAGCAAGCAACAAUUACUAUUUUGUGUGUUUUUGUAUGUAUCUGGAGUGUGUAGGAUUGUGGCUUUGUUGUGCUGAGGUAGUAAGUUGUGUUGUUGUGGGGACUUGGUAUGGUUUGUCCCUUGCUGGAGAUAACUAUACAUCUUACUGCCUUCCACACAAGAGUCUCCUUUCCUCUUCCUCUUACUGAAGGCUUUGUAUUUAGGUGACCUUUAAUAAGUAUUAGUAUUAUUAAAUAACUAAUUUAAUGAUAACCACAAGUUGUUCUCCUGGUACUGGAAUUACAGAGAUGCUGAUUAUCUGUAUGUUAUCUCACUCUUCAUCUAAAUAAACCAAGUACAGUUUAUGGAA